rnacentral:rRNA from 1 species
UGCAGUCGAACGGCAGCGGGGGCUUCGGCCCCCGGCGAGUGGCGAACGGGUGAGUAAUGCAUCGGAACGUACCCAGUCGUGGGGGAUAACUACGCGAAAGCGUGGCUAAUACCGCAUACGCCCUGAGGGGGAAAGCGGGGGACCUUCGGGCCUCGCGCGAUUGGAGCGGCUGAUGUCGGAUUAGCUAGUUGGUGGGGUAAAGGCCUACCAAGGCGACGAUCCGUAGCUGGUCUGAGAGGAUGAUCAGCCACACUGGGACUGAGACACGGCCCAGACUCCUACGGGAGGCAGCAGUGGGGAAUUUUGGACAAUGGGGGCAACCCUGAUCCAGCCAUGCCGCGUGAGUGAAGAAGGCCUUCGGGUUGUAAAGCUCUUUCAGACGGAAAGAAAUCGGGUGCGUGAAUAGCGCGCCUGGAUGACGGUACUGUCAGAAGAAGCACCGGCUAACU